AGUGAACGCUGGCGGUAGGCCUAACACAUGCAAGUCGAACAGCAGCACAGUAAGAUCUUGCUCUUACGGGUGGCGAGUGGCGGACGGGUGAGGAAUACAUCGGAAUCUACUUUUUCGUGGGGGAUAACGUAGGGAAACUUACGCUAAUACCGCAUACGACCUACGGGUGAAAGCAGGGGAUCUUCGGACCUUGCGCGAUUGAAUGAGCCGAUGUCGGAUUAGCUAGUUGGCGGGGUAAAGGCCCACCAAGGCGACGAUCCGUAGCUGGUCUGAGAGGAUGAUCAGCCACACUGGAACUGAGACACGGUCCAGACUCCUACGGGAGGCAGCAGUGGGGAAUAUUGGACAAUGGGCGCAAGCCUGAUCCAGCCAUACCGCGUGGGUGAAGAAGGCCUUCGGGUUGUAAAGCCCUUUUGUUGGGAAAGAAAAGCAGCAGGUUAAUACCCCGCUGUUCUGACGGUACCCAAAGAAUAAGCACCGGCUAACUUCGUG
rnacentral:rRNA from 1 species